CUCAGAAGAUAGGCUCUUGUGACCUUCAGAGUGGAAGCUGGAAACAGCAAAAGCAGCCAACUGCAGCUGGGGGGCACACCUGUAGACCUGGUGACAGUCUGUGCGUGCCUUGGCGUGGACGUGGGAAGGCACUUAUUUACUGCCAAGCUAAAAUUAAGAUCCCAGUUUUUACAUGUUGUUUAGGGACAGCGGCUGAUACAGAACUCUGGGUGCUUCUGCUCUCAGCUUUAAUAAGUGGGCUGGAGUGGAUGACUGCUAUCAGUUUUUUGGCACUGUAAAUGGCUGCCAUUUGAUGGGGGGCUAAAUAAAAAGUCAUGCGCUUUCCUAUGGCUGGAACCG
rnacentral:lncRNA from 1 species